CUUCACUUCCCUGGGCCUCAGUUACCUCCUCUGGAAAAUGGGGAUCGAGGCCGUGGAGCCCCACGUGGCACGGGGGCGGUGUCCGGCCCGAUCGGCUCGGAUCCGCCCCGGCGCUCGGUACGGUGCCCGGCGUGAGGUAGGCGCUUAAGGAACACCACCGUUACCUCCUCUGGACCGUAAGCUCAGCGUGGGCAGGGGAUGUGUCCGUUACAACGUACUCUCCGAGGCGCUCGGUACGCGCUCGAUGAGCGGGGCGCCGGCUUGGGAGUCGGAGGACGCGGGUUCUGAUCCCGGCCCCGCCGCUCGUCUGCUCCGGGACCUCGGGCGGGCCACUUAACUCGGCGACCCUCAUCUGGAAAACGCAGGUUAAGGCCGCGAGCCCUCCGUGAGGCAAUCCGAUGACCCCGUAUCCGCCCCGGCGCUUGGCAUACAGCAAGCGCUUAACGGCUACCGUCGUCACUGUUGCGCUCCGGCGGAAGAGCCAGGAUCCGAAUCCAGGCUCCGUAAAGGGCCGGAGUCACGUCUACCAUCUCCAGAGCAGCCUCCAGGAUACCGUCCGAAGGCCGCGUCGACGGGCAGACCGAAGAAGCGACGGGCGACGAGGCACACGGGCCGGGCCGGUGGGAGGGACGUCGGAGAGAUUCACCCUGCGCGGGAAGAAGAGAUGGAGGAAACCGAGACGACUGCGACGGAGGAGCCCGCCCCGGCCUUCUCUCGUCUCCUCCUCGUCGCGGCUGCCGCCCGUUCCUUUCCUGGAGGUUUUCUGACAGCGACGAGGUCACUGAGGCACCGAGAAGUGAAGCGACUUGCCC